UCAAGAAACUUCCACAAUGGGCGAAAGCCUGAUGGAGCGACGUCGCGUGAUGGACGAAGUGCUUCGGCACGUAAACAUCUUUUAUGUGGGAUGAAAUUAUUGACAGUACCACAUGAAUAAGGGGCUCCUAACUCUGUGCCAGCAGGAGCGGUAAUACAGAGGCCCCAAGCGUUAUCCGGAAUCACUGGGCGUAAAGGGUGUCGAGGCGGUUGUAUUAGUCGUUCGUAAAAUCUACGAGCUUAACUUGUAGGCGGCGAACGAAACGGUACGACUUGAGGUUUGGAGAGGUGCGUGGAACUCACGGUGUAGGGGUGAAAUCCGUUGAUAUCGUGGGGAACACUAAAGGCGAAGGCAGCGCACUGGCCAAAAUCUGACGCUCACACACGAAAGCUAGGGUAGCGAAGAGGAUUAGAUACCCCCGUAGUCCCUGAG
rnacentral:rRNA from 1 species